rnacentral:rRNA from 1 species
GACAGAGGGUGCAAACGUUGCUCGGAAUCACUGGGCGUAAAGGGCGUGUAGGCGGGAAUGUAAGUCGGGCGUGAAAUCCCUAGGCUCAACCUAGGAACUGCACUCGAAACUGCGUUUCUUGAGUAUCGGAGAGGAAAGCGGAAUACCUGGUGUAGAGGUGAAAUUCGUAGAUAUCAGGUGGAACACCAGUGGCGAAGGCGGCUUCCUGGACCGACACUGACGCUGAGGCGCGAAAGCUAGGGGAGCAAACGGG